UACAGAGACUGCAAGCGUUAUUCGGAUCACUGGGCGUAAAGGGUGCGCAGGCGGUCGGGUGUGUCAGAUGUGAAAUCCCGAGGCUCAACCUCGGAACUGCGUCUGAAACUACUCGACUAGAGUACUGGAGGAGGGUAACGGAAUUCACGGUGUAGCAGUGAAAUGCGUAGAUAUCGUGAGGAACACCAGAGGCGAAGGCGGUUACCUGGACAGUUACUGACGCUCAGGCACGAAAGCAUGGGGAGCAAAAGGG
rnacentral:rRNA from 1 species